CGGGAACGCGGGGCCCCGGCAGCCGGCCCCCUCCCCCCCAUGGAGGACAGUUUUCUUGAAUCCUUUGGGAGGCUCAGCCUCCAGCAGCGGCAGCAGCCGCGGCCGCCGCCCCCGCGCGGGACACCUCCGCGCCGCCACAGCUUCAGGAAACACCUCUACCUGCUGCGAGGCCUCCCGGGCUCGGGGAAAACCACGCUGGCCAGACAGCUGCAGCUCGACUUCCCCAGGGCCGUGAUUUUCAGCACGGAUGACUUCUUCUCCCAGGAGGACGGCACCUAUGAGUUCAACCCCGACUUCCUGGAGGAAGCUCACAAAUGGAACCAGAAAAGAGCGAGAAAAGCGAUGAGGAACGGCGUCUCCCCCGUAAUUAUUGAUAACACCAACCUCCAGGCCUGGGAGAUGAAGCCCUAUGCCCUCAUGGCACUUGAAAAUAACUAUGAAGUUCUAUUCCGAGAACCUGCCACUCGCUGGAAAUUCAACGUUCCAGAGUUAGCAAGAAGAAACAUUCAUGGAGUCCCGAGAGAGAAGAUCCACCGCAUGAAAGAACAGUAUGAACACGGUGUCACCUUUCACAGCGUGCUUCAUGCCGAAAAGCCGAGCUGGGCGACCGGAAGCCAGGACAGGAAUACGGCGGCGCCUUCCGAGGGCGCGGGGGACUGGCGGGCCUGUGCAGAGUUUCCCAGCCGGAGGGCCCCCGGGGGCUUCGCCAGCGACAGCUUCUUCAGCAGGAGGGGUGGUUGCCACCGCGGAUAUUAGCGUCUUGUCUUCCGGCUGUUUACAGUUUUCCUAAAUCAGUUUUUACGCCAGUUUUUGGUAUUUAUUCCUUGUUCAGUUUUAGCCAGAGCUCUAAUUCCAGUGUAGAUAAUUGAACCCCAAGUUUUCUAGCAGAUGUCAUUCUAGUCAUCGUCUGCAGCAGGCUUGUGUUCAAGUGUCCCAUGUGCCUGGUUUGCUGCGGGGCUUCUGCAGAUUGGAGGAAGCAAUGCCCCUUUCUCGAGGGAAACCCGAAACCCGAGAACAUACCGAGAUUAGUCCAGCAGGUUCAUCAACGAAGGGAAGGGUUUACAGUAUCUAAGCUUCAGCGCUACUUUCUCUGAAGUGUCCGUUUACUUUUCCAGGAAAUUCAUCUCCGUGAGGAAAGUGGGGGAAGGAGAGGCGACGGGAGAAAUUUUAGCGCCAUUGCUAACUUAUGUGGUUUGCGUGACUCUGAUGACAGCGAUUUUAUUUUGUUGUUGAGACUAUACACAGCAAAACAAACACCAGUUCAGCAGCUUCUACAUGUACGAUUCAGUGGCAUUGAUUACAUUCUCCGAGUUGUGCAACCAUUUUCACCCACCGUUUCUGAGUUGUUCCUUCUCCGGUAACGUAAACUCACUGCCCCCUAAGCUUCCUAAAUAUUGAUUUUCUUCUAAAACAAAUAUGCCAGAAAGUUUACAUCUGCGUCAAUACUGCCCUUCAAAGGAGACACUUUGGGAAGUCACACUUUGUGUUUUAACACCACUUUGUUCAACAGGGUUAAACCUGAAUACAUUUCGGCUAUUGCUCAACUAGUGUGAGUAAAACAAGCCUGCCUUCCGUAAAACACCAAUGUUUGAAAGGAAUAAUUAAAUGAUGUUUAAAAUUUCUGCCUAUAAAUGUGAUUGGUCGGCAGCCUGAAUGUGUGGGAGCACGAGGAGUUAAGCACCCCAGCACAGAGAUCACGUAACCAGUAGCCAGUCAACUCUGACUCGUGGUGACCCCAUGGGCAUCGGAGUAGGACUGUGCUCCGUAGGGUUUUCAGUGGCUGAUUUUUUGGAAGUAGAUGGCCAGGCCUUUCCUCCGAGGUACCUCUGGGUGGAUGUGAACUGCUAGCCUUUUAGUUAGUAGUGAGCGCUUAACUGUUUGCACCAAGAAACCGUGCUUACUGUAAGGUGAGCAGUGUUGGUGUUUUGUGUGGUGUUUAGGACAAUGAAGUUCUCAAGUCUGACAUGUUCCUGAAUCCAAACUCCAUGCCAGCAGGUUAGGAGCAAGUCAACUUGGUGACCACGGCAGCCACGACCACGUGGGAUGUCCGCUUUCUACUGUGGGCCAGCAGCUUCUAACGCUCUGUGGAGUGGUAUUUCCAGUGUCCCGUAUGAUGGUGCUUUUACGGUUAUUAAAAAUUUUACCUGACCUGCGCACGAGUCGGGAUUGACGGCAGCUAACCAGUGCACGUCAGAAAGAGGUUUCACUAGCAUUCCGUUACCUGACGGUUUGACACCCACCCA